rnacentral:rRNA from 1 species
AGAGUUUGAUUCUGGCUCAGGACGAACGCUGGCGGCAUGCCUCACACAUGCAAGUCGAACGAACUUUUUUAGGAAGCUUGCUUUCUAAAAAAGUUAGUGGCGGACGGGUGAGUAACACGUGGCAACCUGCCCUACAGAUCGGGAUACCAUCGGGAAACUGAUGUUAAUACCGGAUACGUUCUAGGAAUCACAUGAUACCUAGAAGAAAGAUUUAUCGCUGUAGGAUGGGCCCGCGGUCCAUUAGCUAGUUGGUAGGGUAACGGCCUACCAAGGCGACGAUGGAUAGCUGGUCUGAGAGGACGAUCAGCCACACUGGGACUGAGACACGGCCCAGACUCUACGGGAGGCAGCAGUGGGGAAUAUUGCGCAAUGGGGGCAACCCUGACGGCAGCAAUGCCGCGUGAAGGAUGAAGGCUUUCGGGUCGUAAACUUCUGUCUAGAGGGAUGAAUAAUGACAGUACCUCUGGAGGAAGCCCCGGCUAACUACGUGCCAGCAGCCGCGGUAAUACGUAGGGGGCAAGCGUUGUCCGGAAUCACUGGGCGUAAAGCGCGCGUAGGUGGUCUAGUAAGUCNGGUGUUAAAAUUCGGGGCUCAACCCGUAAUGCAUUUGAAACUGCUGGACUUGAGGACAGGAGAGGAAAGUGGAAUUCCUAGUGUAGCGGUGAAAUGCGUAGAUAUUAGGAGGAACACCAGUGGCGAAGGCGACUUUCUGGACUGUACCUGACACUGAGGUGCGAAACGUGGGGGAGCAAACAGGAUUAGAUACCCUGGUAGUCCACGCCGUAAACGAUGGGUACUAGGUGUAGGGGGUUUAGAUACCCUCUGUGCCGCAGCUAACGCAUUAAGUACCCCGCCUGGGAGUACGAUCGCAAGAUUGAAACUCAAAGGAAUUGACGGGGGCCCGCACAAGCAGCGGACAUUGUGGUUUAAUUCGAAGCAACGGAAGAACCUUACCAGGACUUGACAUCCUCUGAAGCUAUUAGAGAUAGUAGUGUCCCUUCCCGGGCAGAGUGACAGGUGGUGCAUGGUUGUCGUCAGCUCGUGUCGUGAGAUGUUGGGGUUAAGUCCCGCAACGGAGCGCAACCCCUAUUUUUAGUUGCCAUCAAGUAAUGUUGGGCACUCUAGAGAGACUGCCGGUGAUAAACCGGAGGAAGGUGGGGAUGACGUCAAAUCAUCAUGCCCCUUAUGUCCUGGGCUACACACGUGCAUACAAUGGCVVGVRVVACGGGAAGCUAAGGAGUGAUCCGGCGCAAAUCCCUUAAAACAGGUCUCAGUUCGGAUUGUAGGCUGCAACUCGCCUACAUGAAGUCGGAGUUGCUAGUAAUSNVCGAUCAGAAUGUCGKCGUGAAUGC